UGAGUGAGAGGAGUUUUAGCACAACAAGAUUGAAGAUCUAAUGGUGAACUUCAACAGCUUUAGGAAACGUGUGUGUGGUGAGGGUCAGAGAGAAAGCUCAUAGAAGAUUGCAAGGAGCUUGAGGGAAUUGAGAGUGAUGAUGCCAAGGGUUGUGAAAUGGUGAUGGAGAUGCAAUUUUAUAGGUGACAGGUUUGGAUGAGUUUAGGUUUGGAGUUAGUUGUAAUUAGGUUUAGGAUUAGCUUAGGAGUUAGUUGGUGUGAACUCACUGAGUCGAAUCUAAACUCAGUUAGUUGGGGGGGUUUAGUGACUCAGUUAAUUGGUUAUUUUAGUUAAUGUUAGGUGACUUAUGACUGGCUAAAAUAGGUUAGAACUUAAGUGGAAUUAGGUUUUAAUUUUGACUGAUGACCUACUAUUUACUUGGCUCAGGUGUAGAUGACUUGCAACUGUAGGUAAAUGGAAGUUCAAGUAUGAUGCUUUGACAUGUUGAGUUUUUUGUGAGCCAAACUCUGCUAUAGAUUCUGCUAUGUAUUCUGACUUGUGGAGGUUUGUACUGCUAUUUGUUUGGAACUCAUUGUUAUGCUUGUAUUAUGUGAACUGUUAUGGUGCAUUGGUGAUGGCCAAAGGUUGAUGUGAAUAGGUUUGGUGUUUGGUCCUGUCU
rnacentral:lncRNA from 1 species